AUCGGAGUCGGGUGCUAUACUGCAGUCGACGAACUCUGGUAUUGAUUGGUGCUUGCAUCAUGAUUUACAUUUGAGUGAGUGGCGAACUGGUGAGUAACACGUGGGAAACCUGCCCAGAAGCGGGGGAUAACACCUGGAAACAGAUGCUAAUACCGCAUAACAACUUGGACCGCAUGGUCCGAGCUUGAAAGAUGGCUUCGGCUAUCACUUUUGGAUGGUCCCGCGGCGUAUUAGCUAGAUGGUGGGGUAACGGCUCACCAUGGCAAUGAUACGUAGCCGACCUGAGAGGGUAAUCGGCCACAUUGGGACUGAGACACGGCCCAAACUCCUACGGGAGGCAGCAGUAGGGAAUCUUCCACAAUGGACGAAAGUCUGAUGGAGCAACGCCGCGUGAGUGAAGAAGGGUUUCGGCUCGUAAAACUCUGUUGUUAAAGAAGAACAUAUCUGAGAGUAACUGUUCAGGUAUUGACGGUAUUUAACCAGAAAGCCACGGCUAACUACGUGCCAGCAGCCGCGGUAAUACGUAGGUGGCAAGCGUUGUCCGGAUUUAUUGGGCGUAAAGCGAGCGCAGGCGGUUUUUUAAGUCUGAUGUGAAAGCCUUCGGCUCAACCGAAGAAGUGCAUCGGAAACUGGGAAACUUGAGUGCAGAAGAGGACAGUGGAACUCCAUGUGUAGCGGUGAAAUGCGUAGAUAUAUGGAAGAACACCAGUGGCGAAGGCGGCUGUCUGGUCUGUAACUGACGCUGAGGCUCGAAAGUAUGGGUAGCAAACAGGAUUAGAUACCCUGGUAGUCCAUACCGUAAACGAUGAAUGCUAAGUGUUGGAGGGUUUCCGCCCUUCAGUGCUGCAGCUAACGCAUUAAGCAUUCCGCCUGGGGAGUACGGGCCGCAAGGCUGAAACUCAAAGGAAUUGACGGGGGCCCGCACAAGCGGUGGAGCAUGUGGUUUAAUUCGAAGCUACGCGAAGAACCUUACCAGGUCUUGACAUACUAUGCAAAUCUAAGAGAUUAGACGUUCCCUUCGGGGACAUGGAUACAGGUGGUGCAUGGUUGUCGUCAGCUCGUGUCGUGAGAUGUUGGGUUAAGUCCCGCAACGAGCGCAACCCUUAUUAUCAGUUGCCAGCAUUAAGUUGGGCACUCUGGUGAGACUGCCGGUGACAAACCGGAGGAAGGUGGGGAUGACGUCAAAUCAUCAUGCCCCUUAUGACCUGGGCUACACACGUGCUACAAUGGAUGGUACAACGAGUUGCGAACUCGCGAGAGUAAGCUAAUCUCUUAAAGCCAUUCUCAGUUCGGAUUGUAGGCUGCAACUCGCCUACAUGAAGUCGGAAUCGCUAGUAAUCGCGGAUCAGCAUGCCGCGGUGAAUACGUUCCCGGGCCUUGUACACACCGCCCGUCACACCAUGAGAGUUUGUAACACCCAAAGUCGGUGGGGUAACCUUUAGAACCAGCCGCUAAGGACAGAGU
rnacentral:rRNA from 1 species